rnacentral:rRNA from 1 species
GGUGGUAAUGCCGGAUGCUCCGACUCCUCGCAUGGGGUGUCGGGAAAGAUUUCAUCGGUAUGGGAUGGGGUCGCGUCCUAUCAGGUAGUCGGCGGGGUAACGGCCCACCGAGCCUACGACGGGUAGCCGGCCUGAGAGGGCGACCGGCCACAUUGGGACUGAGAUACGGCCCAGACUCCUACGGGAGGCAGCAGUGGGGAAUAUUGCACAAUGGGCGCAAGCCUGAUGCAGCGACGCCGCGUGCGGGAUGACGGCCUUCGGGUUGUAAACCGCUUUUGAUCGGGAGCAAGCCUUCGGGUGAGUGUACCUUUCGAAUAAGCACCGGCUAACUACGUGCCAGCAGCCGCGGUAAUACGUAGGGUGCAAGCGUUAUCCGGAAUUAUUGGGCGUAAAGGGCUCGUAGGCGGUUCGUCGCGUCCGGUGUGAAAGUCCAUCGCUUAACGGUGGAUCUGCGCCGGGUACGGGCGGGCUGGAGUGCGGUAGGGGAGACUGGAAUUCCCGGUGUAACGGUGGAAUGUGUAGAU